rnacentral:rRNA from 1 species
GAUGAACGCUGGCGGCGUGCCUAAUACAUGCAAGUAGAACGCUGAAGGAAGGAGCUUGCUCUUUCCGGAUGAGUUGCGAACGGGUGAGUAACGCGUAGGUAACCUGCCUGGUAGCGGGGGAUAACUAUUGGAAACGAUAGCUAAUACCGCAUAACAGUAGAUGUUGCAUGAUAUCUACUUAAAAGGUGCAAUUGCACCACUACCAGAUGGACCUGCGUUGUAUUAGCUAGUUGGUGAGGUAACGGCUCACCAAGGCGACGAUACAUAGCCGACCUGAGAGGGUGAUCGGCCACACUGGGACUGAGACACGGCCCAGACUCCUACGGGAGGCAGCAGUAGGGAAUCUUCGGCAAUGGACGGAAGUCUGACCGAGCAACGCCGCGUGAGUGAGGAAGGUUUUCGGAUCGUAAAGCUCUGUUGUAAGAGAAGAACGAGUGUGAGAGUGGAAAGUUCACACUGUGACGGUAUCUUACCAGAAAGGGACGGCUGACUACGUG